AAUACUGGAUAUGAGCUUCUACCGCAGGGUGGGGGUUGGAAAGAUUUUUCGGUCUGGGAUGGGCUCGCGGCCUAUCAGCUUGUUGGUGAGGUAAUGGCUCACCAAGGCGUCGACGGGUAGCCGGCCUGAGAGGGUGACCGGCCACACUGGGAGUGUGACACGGCCCAAACUCCUACGGGAGGCAGCAGUGGGGAAUAUUGCACAAUGGGCGGAAGCCUGAUGCAGCAACGCCGCGUGAGGGAUGACGGCCUUCGGGUUGUAAACCUCUUUUAGCAGGGAAGAAGCGAAAGUGACGGUACCUGCAGAAAAAGCGCCGGCUAACUACGUGCCAGCAGCCGCGGUAAUACGUAGGGCGCAAGCGUUAUCCGGAAUUAUUGGGCGUAAAGAGUUCGUAGGCGGUUUGUCGCGUCUGCUGUGAAAUCCCGAGGCUCAACCUCGGGCCUCCAGUGGGUACGGGCAGACUAGAGUGCGGUAGGGGAGAUUGGAAUUCCUGGUGUAGCGGUGGAAUGCGCAGAUAUCAGGAGGAACACCGAUGGCGAAGGCAGAUCUCUGGGCCGUAACUGACGCUGAGGAGCGAAAGGGUGGGGAGCAAACAGGCUUAGAUACCCUGGUAGUCCACCCCGUAAACGUUGGGAACUAGUUGUGGGGACCAUUCCACGGUUUCCGUGACGCAUCUAACGCAUUAAGUUCCCCGCCUGGGGAGUACGGCCGCAAGGCUAAAACUCAAAGGAAUUGACGGGGACCCGCCCAAGCGGCGGAGCAUGCGGAUUAAUUCGAUGCAACGCGAAGAACCUUAUUUAGGCUUGACAUACACCAGAACGGGCCAGAAAUGGUCAACUCUUUGGACACUGGUGAACAGGUGGUGCAUGGUUGUCGUCAGCUCGUGUCGUGAGAUGUUGGGUUAAGUCCCGUAACGAGCGCAACCCUCGUUCUAUGUUGCCAGCAAGUAAUGGUGGGAACUCAUGGGAUACUGCCGGGGUCAACUCGGAGGAAGGUGGGGAUGACGUCAAAUCAUCAUGCCCCCUAUGUCUUGGGCUUCACCCAUGCUACAAUUGCCGGUACAAACGGGUGCAAUACCGUGAGGUGGAGCGAAUCCCAUAAAGCCGGUCCCCGUUCGGAUUGAGGUCUUCCACUCGACCUCCUGAUGUCGGAGUCGAUCGUAAUCGCCGAUCAGCAAUGCUGC
rnacentral:rRNA from 1 species